UUGAAUAUAAUCCCAUAUAUUUAUGUAAAGCUCUUCGUCUAAAGGAAAUUGAUAUUGUCUGAAAUGGCCACGGCCAUCCAUAAACAGCAAACUUAUUGAAAAUAAAUAUAUCUCUGUUGUGCCUUUUUAGUAUUAGAAGCGAUGAAAAUCGCCAUGGGUUAUAAUCGGCAGAAAUACAACCUUCGAAUGUUAUUUAAUAAGGAAGUUCUUUUUCAAUAAAUAUACUUUUACUAUACAUUUUACGAACAAUAUAUCGUUCCAACAUACAGAAGCCUUGUUUUAUUUUACCUUCAAAAGUCUAGAUGUAUUUGUUUUUUAUUUGACAAUAAAGCAUGUUGCUUAUACUUUUUUCUAACAUAAUCCACUCAAAGAACUUUACAACCGCCAGAAGGCCUCUAGUGUUCGGCAAAUAUACUACAUUUGUACACGUUUUAAUUUCGGAUAUAUAAGAAUUAUUAAAACAUUGAUUUUAUGAAAAUCAAAUAUGAAAAUAUUUCGAAUUUGGUUUUUAAAUUCCAUGACAACUUGGAGGAACUGGCCGUUGAUCCCGUGACUGUCUCAAAUCUUUCAUCAAUCUUAAAUCUAUUAAAAGUUUCGUAAU
rnacentral:misc_RNA from 1 species